rnacentral:rRNA from 1 species
GACGAACGCUGGCGGCGUGCUUAACACAUGCAAGUCGAACGGAAAGGCCCUGCUUUUGUGGGGUGCUCGAGUGGCGAACGGGUGAGUAACACGUGAGUAACCUGCCCUUGACUUUGGGAUAACUUCAGGAAACUGGGGCUAAUACCGGAUAGGAGCUCCUGCUGCAUGGUGGGGGUUGGAAAGUUUCGGCGGUUGGGGAUGGACGCGCGGCUUAUCAGCUUGUUGGUGGGGGAGUGGCUUACCAAGGCUUUGACGGGUAGCCGGCCUGGGAGGGUGACCGGCCACAUUGGGACUGAGAUACGGCCCAGACUCCUACGGGAGGCAGCAGUGGGGAAUAUUGCACAAUGGGCGGAAGCCUGAUGCAGCAACGCCGCGUGCGGGAUGACGGCCUUCGGGUUGUAAACCGCUUUCGCCUGUGACGAAGCGUGAGUGACGGUAAUGGGUAAAGAAGCACCGGCUAACUACGUG